CUCUCUCUCUCUUAAAAAACAUAAGGGGGGGUGCUAGGGAUAUAGCUCAGUGGCAAAGUACCCUGGGUUCAAACUCAAACUCCAGUACCAAAAUAAAAGAAGAAACAUGACUUUUGAAUAACCAAAGAUAAGCAUGUCCAGGUCAAAGAGAAUGCAUGUGGAUAAAGGAGGAACCUUGGGCUGAGUAGAUGAUGUUAACUUAUAUUGUUUUAAAAAGAGGUAGUGACUCCUUAAAGGAAUUAUCAUUUUUUCCUGAAAGACUGAGCCAUUCUUUGUUCACACCUAUGCCUUCUCUCUCAAUCCAAGUUGUAUCUUACACCUGAAGGUGAAACACUCCAUAUCCCAUUUCUUUUCCCAAUAAAGAUCUGCCCCAAAUUCAUACUUAUAUGAUACAGAUUCCUUUCAAUGCACCUUCUCAAAAGUUUAUAUCUCCUGUAUCAGAUUAUGCUAUGACACAUGGUAUGGCAAUGAGGGCAUAAGAGUCAAACAACACCAGAAAAGGCUCCAACUGUGCAAAAGUUACAUGCUCUGGUAUGCUGGUGAAAACCAGCAUCCAAAUUAGGUCACUUUUUAGAUUACCUCAUCACCUCCCUCCAUUGGGAAAAUACAUAGAACAAACACAGCUAAAAGAAAUCAUAUUCACUUGUAAAAAAUGGUACUCCUAUAGGCUGAAUUUGUAGCUCAGGGGUAUGAUGAUGGCCUAGCAUGCAUUAUUAGCAUAUGGGUUUGAUCCACAGCACAGAAAAACAAAAACAAGAUAGUUCUACAUCUUACACACACAAAAAAAAAAACAAACCCUAAUUUUAAAUUUAUAUGAACUAAAGUGAAAAGUAGGAACAUGGUACACAUCAACAAAUAUAACUAAUUCUUAAUUUUAUAGCCAAAAAGUAGUGUAGCAAUGAGAAAUAUACAAACUCUUAGUAAGAAAAUAAGACCAUAAGAAAAAUUAUCCUCAAUAAGACAAAUGCUUAAAACCAUAGAAUGAGACAGAGAGUCAGGUUCAAGUAAUGUGCUGAAAGAAAAUAACAAGAGAACUCAAGCAUCACUAUGUCCCUCUAGGGGCAGCCACACUGGGGGCAACAGACCUGGAAGUCCCACCAGGAAUCCCAGGUGGUCCAAACUGGUGGAGAUGCUCCUCAAUCAGGCACAAAAGUUCCAAGCUCAGGGUACUUGCUACUCUUCCCACAAGAAAGUUCCAGGGCUACCUCUGGCUCAGCUCCUUUGCCCUCCUUUUGCUUUCCAAGGAGACCAGCAGAGGAGGCUGGCCCCUCUUCCUCCACAGGCAAAGUUGAGCAGAUGACUGGGAUUAUGGGUCUGAAUCACUACUGCAGGGGAGAGCAAAGGGUGAAGCCAGGAGGCAAAGGUGGAGGCCUCAAGCCAAGGUGAAGACAACCCUGAGAUCCUUUGUUCAGGAAGGAAGCCAUUUGGGGAUCUCCUUGCUCCAGGUCACCUUCCUUUCUUGAGGAGCAACAGUGACAGGAUAGAUGCUCAUCAGAGAAGUUGAAGUAAAGGGCAGAGCUCCCUGGAACCCAGGUCUCCAUUAUUCCUGGGCCAGAGGAGGGACUAGUUGGCUACAGGGUUCCAUUGGCUUCAUGGCAAUGCUGUGUGCCUAUGGGGCAUCAGGCCCCCGGGGUUUGGGAGGAUGAAGGGCAUGAAUGGGCUUCCUGCUGAUGGGAAGGACUGGGAAACUUCUAGAGUGCCAGGGCAUCCAGGAAGCACAGCAUGGUAGCAGUCAAGGAUGAUGAGGGGGCUCAGGGACUGCUGAACAUGCAGGGGACCUAGCUUGGACUCCUGUAUCCUCUCCAUGUCUUCUUUCAAGCCUGCCUUUGUUUAGAGCCUUAUCACUGGCAUUUCUGGGUGCCAGGGCAUUAUUCUAAGGGUACCCCAGGAAGGUGUGUGGUCAAAAGUCUCCCAGAAAAAGGGACUGUUGUUCUUUGGAAACCCAAGCUCAACUCCAGACUGAAAGAAUGGGGCCCAGGGGAAGGGUUUAGCUUCCUGGUGGGCUUCCAUUGACAUAGGGUCUGGGCCUGGGGCCAGGGAGCAACACACUGUGGGGCUGUACCAAGGAAGGAAGUGGCUCCAGGUUAUGCAGUUCAGUGUUCUUGGGACUGUGGCAGAAGAGGUGUCUUUUUGGACCCAUGCACUCAAGGGAAGGAUGCGUGAUUCUCCCACAUGCUGGCCAAUGCACAAAGACUCCUGUAAGGGCAGCUUGAUGGUAAGUGUGCCUUGGGCCCAGAGCCUAGUCUAGCUAUCAGACCCUGCUGGGACUCCUUGAUACAGGAGGGGGCAGUGGAAUGCUGAAUCCAUGGGGUCAUAGGCAUCUCAUCCUGCCCCUUGUUCCCAGAGACCCACAAGUGCACUUGCAGGGGGCUUACAGGACUGGUGGUCACAGCUGCAGAUAGGGGUCACCUUUGGGGAUGGAACACUGGGGUCCAUAUAGGAAAUGACUGUGUGAGCCUGCCCCAAGGCUGGCAUCCUUCCCCCUCCUCAGCUGUUUUCCUCUUUCCAUCCAGGUCAUGCUCCCGACAGAAAUAACGCCUUGAUCCUCCUGGCAGCAGCCUAGCCCUGACUUUGCCAAUCCUCAAGGCCCCUUAGCGCACUGACCUGGCGUAUCCAUCUUGUGACAGAAGCAAAGCAGAUGGAUGCCUCUGACAGGCCAGGCACAGCUUGCCCUUCUACAGUCAAAUUCUUCCUUACCUGUAACUACAUUUAAUGGACUGUUUUAUCCUUGGAGUGAUUAUCUGAACUAUAAGGACUACUGAGUAAGAACCUGCUUUGUCAACUCCUGCCACUCAGGUAUGCUGCAGUGAAUCUAAUGAGUCUCCUGUCCCUUUGAACCAUGGUUUCAGGAUGCCAUUCUGAGAAUUGUUUGAGACUGAGGCACAGUCAUUCCUCCAUAACUACAGGAAAUUGAUUCCAGGAUCCCAUGUAGACACAAGAAUCUGCAGAUGCUCAAGCUCCUUAUAUAAAAUGAAAAAGACUACUAAGGAAGGAAUUUUUUACACUGUUGUGCUCAUGGGGCAAUUUGUACCACCAAAGUGUCUGACAGUAAAUAUGUGGCAUCUGGUUGACUAUAGUACCAGUGUUUAAAGAUCCAUUUCUGGUAAUGAAGACCAGUUUUGGCUUGUUGACACCAGUACAGCUGACACAUCCAAGUACCUGUCUUUUUUCCUGUCAACUUCAAUCAUGGUUUAACAAUACCAUUAUAGUCAAAGCUAGAACAAGUUAUUGACUUCAGAGAAAAGAGUCUCAUGAGAUAGAAGAGCUAGAAUCGGAUCUUCCACUUCAGAAAUAGGGGAUUGAAUGGGAUAUUACAGAGAGGUAGAGAAUAUGGUAGCAAAGGCAUUUACCAGAAGCAGACAGAACUGGAAACCUCUACCCUGAAAUUAACUGGAAAUGCUUACUUAUAUACUAGUAGAAGUACAUGCUAAUAUGUAUGUAUUUGCCAUACGGAUUUCAAUAAAAGUGUACCAUUUGACAUCACCAGGAGUAACAGGUAAGUUAUAACCAAAAUACAGGGGAAAACAAUGCACAUAAAUAUUUCAUUUGGGAAAUAAAUCAUACUAUAAACACUGAUGAUUAUAUUACAAAUACAGUUCUAAUUUUGCAGCUGAGAAAUUGCAAGUUUGCUUAUUUGGUAAGUAAUAUUUAGAGACAAAAGUCCUCUUAAGAAUUGAGUACCUCACCUAAUCAGAACAGAGUCCCUGGUAUAGCCACCAUCAUAUUCUGUAGUUUCUUCUAGUGCUUGGAAAUCUAGAUUCUGCAAAUUCAAGAAAAUAUGUCUUAAUAUCUUCUACAUUACACCAUUAAAACAAUACGUGAUGUUUUAAAACAAUUUUUGUGGGGGCAGACAUUUGCUUUCUUACCCGGCUUCCACAUAUGAGCAAUUCAAUUUCUUCUGGUCUGAAUAAAUACUUUAAGGGAGAUUCAUUGGUCACCAUAUGAAAACCUCUGCGAAAAGCCUUGAACUGUUUUUCUACUGAUUUGUUGAGAAUGUAGUCAGAAUAGAGAUUGACAAAUUCCUGCCGAAAACAUUAACCACAAGAAUGUCUUAUAAUAUGUUAUUUAAAAAAAAACAACCUAAUUAGUGGGCAAAUCAUUCAAGAACACUUUUCAAAAUUAAAAUUUUAUACAAAGGAAAAUAUCUUACAAUUUCAUAAUUCUCUACAAUAAUCAAUAUUAAGCUGUAAAAAGUUCAUGUGCAUAAAAUGGUAAUAUAUGUUUCAAUUUUCAUAGUAUUUUAAACAAGACUGAAUAUAAAAGCUGAGGCCUCAAAUGGGCAUGGUGGCACAUACCUGUAAACCCAGUGGCUUGGAGGCUGAGGCAGAAGGAUCGAAAGUUCAAAGCCAGCCUCAGCAAAAGCAAGGUGCUAAGCAACCCAGUUGAGACCCUGUCUCUAAAUAAAAUACAAAAUAGGACUGGGGUUGUGGCUCAGUGGUUGAGCGCCCCUAAAGUUCAAUCCCUGGUAUCAAAAAAUAAAAAAGCUGAGGCCUUAAUAUAAUGUUUUAGGUUCCCUUACAUUUAAACCAUGUGUACAUUUAUAAUAGUCAAAACUUUUAAUACAGUAUAAUGUAUUGAAUUUGAGCAAACCAGAAAGUCUCAUGCUAUCUACUACAGAAUAUUGAUAAGCUGCCUACACAUCUAGUUCAUAAAAAAUCUGGUGUUUUGCUUGAUGCCUAAGCUACUACACUGAAUCAUAAAAGGAACUUUAUAUCCUAACUUAAUAAGUAUAAUAUUUUAAUAUAAACACAUGUCCUUAUAGGUAUACUACAAAUGUAUAUAAUUUUCCUGCUACUUGUUUUCAGACAAAUAACAUUUUGGUCAACAAAAAUCCAAAUCUGAUGUAAAGAAUGCUUUAGAAGUACAAUUUAUAUACCAAAUGAGAAAUACACAUACACAUUAAAUGCAAUUAUCAUUUUUUUGUGUGUGGUAAAAACUUUAAUCACAAGGUCCUAUUUGCUUCUUAAAUUUAAGGUACAAAAACCCUGUUUAGGUACUCAUUCUCUCCUACUAAAUGUCCUCUUAUAAAGGAAUUUAGUACUCAACUGUGUGCUCACACACCAGAUUAAAUCCAAGUUUUAGAAAACUGUAGCUCUACCAUUUGCAUGAAUUUGGUUACUUAAUUCCUUUGUUCUUGGUUCCAACUCUAUUAUACUUCUUUAAAAAUUAUAAGCAUACAGGUUUUGAAAUUGUUAUCAAAGAGACAAAAACAAUGACAAUAUAAAAACAUUCAUUACCUUCCUGUUUUCAUUUGUAAUUGGAAUUUUAUCACCAUUUUCUUUUAGAUCAUACAUCAUUGGGUUACCAAAAAGAUCUGUUUGUGAUAUCUGGAAAGUGAUCAUCAUAUCAUCUUCCACAUUUCCUUCAUAUUCUACUGGGAUCGGUGGUGCACAUCUGUAAUCUCAGUGGAUCUGGAGGCAGGAGCACCAAAGCCAGCCUCAGCAAUGGCCAGGCACUGAGCAAGUUUAUGUUAAACUCCAGCCAUCAUGUCAUUUUCAAACUAUCCCAGGAAUAACUGCAACAACAACAUAUACAACUUAAAAGCACUUUACACAUUGCAACCAUUUAAUCUUCACAACAACUUCAUCAGGUAUAGGAACUUGAGAAAUGGUGGCAGAUGUGAAGGCUUAAGAGCUAUUUUCCCAUGAUAUUAUGGCUAGGACCAUAACUCUGUUGAGACAUCAUGGGAGCAAGCAAAUCAUCUGUGACACACCUGAUCUCCACCAGCCUUGUGGAAAUAAAAUGGACCUGUAGAAUUUCUACGUUCUACUUUCAGAAAUGAAAGUGCCUUUCAACUCAGAAAGAAAGAAAGUGGAUUGGCGGGAGAAAGGGAGAGACAGAGAAAAAGAGGUGAGGAAGAAAAAGAAGGAGGGAAGAAUGAAGAGGAGAGAGAGGAAAGGAGAAGGCAGGAAGUGUCAAUGAUACGACCUACAAAUCGUUCUUCUCCUCCUUUAAAAAUGAUGAUAAAAGCAGGAAGAAUCCAGGCAGCAAGCUUCUAAAUUGCUCUGAGUACUUACUUACCCAGUACUCUGGGGAGAGACCAUCAUCAGGUUGCUGAGUCUUAUGAGAUACUCUCAAUACCUGAGUAAUUGCUUUUCUCAUUUAACUUUCCAGUAAAGAUGGGAUAAAACAAUAUGAACACGUUACUCUGUUAGAGAAAGGAAGUAGAGGACAGUUAUGCAGAAAAUCCUCAAGGUGAAAUGGCACUCAGGACAGAGAGGGAGUCUAAUUAGUCUAGAUAUGAAGGACACAUUAAAACAUAAAUUGUAUUUACUUCUGGGAGCUAAGUAAUAUUUACUUUACUUAUUUAGAUCUUUCUUCUUGAAUGAGCACAAAUUAUUUUUAUAAAAUACUAGGUUGUUUCUUUUGCUUUGGGAGUAGAAAAAUUUUAUCUGGCUUAAAUGGAACCCAGAAGCUGUGGAUUAAAAAUAAUUCUUAUGCCCUAAGCCAUCAAGAGUCCAAGUAUUUGUUUGCUUCUGUUGCUAUGCCUGAGGGCUUUUAAUCUGCCAUAGGGGGCAGUUUUUGCUGAGUCAGGGGGGCAGAGGCUGGCAUUGAGUUUCUACACUCAGAAGGAGGAUGCAGGGUUUGGAGAGAGCUACUGCCUUUCAUGGGAAUCUUGACCCCUCAGAAAUGAGAAGUCAGAAGUUAAUCGAAUUAUUAAAGAAAAAACUCUGAAUGAUAGUAGCAUAUGCAGAACUGUUGGGGACUCAAAGGACUGAGGAUGACACCAAAGCAGAGAGAAGCACACCCUUCAAUUGAUUCUCUGGUGCCAGGAACAAUCUAAAACUGCAGGCUGAGUGUGGAUAUUGUUGUCAUGUGAUGGACAGGGGCAGGUGAGAGGAGCAGAGUAAGGCCUCUUUAGGCAGAUGGGGUCUCGUCAGUCUGGGAGUUAAAGUUGAAAACCAGGGCAAGUGAUAGCUUCAGUUCAAGCCAUCAUUGGUGGCCUUAUUUUAUGAUCACAGAAGGAGGAGGCUCAGCAUGAGACUGAAGUUACUAGGACCCCAAAGAAAGUGUAUUUAUAACAAGCAAGAACUUUUACAACCACUGGGAUUCAGCCCAGUGGUUGUGGGCUUCAUGGUCCUGAAAGCACCAAAGUUUACAAAGCAUCUGGGGGGUUCUGAUGAAGAAAGGUGGCAGUUGUGCUGACUGCCACAUAUGCCUGCCCAGCCCCCAUGGGACUUCAGGAGAGGCACUCCUUGAGCAUUACAAUGCCCCCUCCACUUGCUGCCCGCCACCCACUCCCGUGAAAGACAAGGCCAGAGCUACAAACAUCUGCUGCAGCAAGGCAUACCAAAUGCAAGCACAUUAAAGUGAGGCGACAGCUGAUUGACUUAAACAUUUGGUCAUGAAAGAAAGAACUUUGCAACGUGACUGGAGAAGCCCAAAUGUGCUUGAACACAGACCAGGGUGGAGAUCAGUGUGACACCAUGGGUUUGAUGGGGAGUUGUGCAUCAUCCUAGAAGACUUUUCUUCCUCUUUCUCAGGGCACAGGCCAAAGUCAAUGACAAAAUCAAAAUCAACAUAAAGACCCUUCACUGAGAAAGUUUUCUUCUUCCUCCUCCUUCUCUUUCUUUUUACUGAGAAAGUGCUAUUUUCUGAACCCCCUCCCUCCCAGUAAGGUUGAAUAAAACUUCAGAAAGUGAUUCAACCACGUUUUCAUAAAUAAAGAGAUCUGGCAGCCAUUAUUAUUUCUGUAAUGGACUAUAUUUACGAAUAAACUAAUCUGAGCAACCCA